rnacentral:rRNA from 1 species
CGAGGGGUAACAGAUCUUCGGAUGCUGACGACCGGCGAACGGGUGAGUAACACGUAUGCAACUUACCCAUAACUCGGGAAUAGCCCAAAGAAAUUUGGAUUAAUACCCAAUAAUACAGGCGUACCGCAUGGUAUUCUUCGUUAAAGAAUAAUCGGUUAUGGAUAGGCAUGCGUUCUAUUAGGUAGUUGGUGAGGUAACGGCUCACCAAGCCGACGAUGGAUAGGGGAACUGAGAGGUUGUCCCCCCACACUGGUACUGAGACACGGACCAGACUCCUACGGGAGGCAGCAGUGAGGAAUAUUGGUCAAUGGACGAAAGUCUGAACCAGCCAAAUCGCGUGAAGGAAGAAGGUAUUAUGUAUCGUAAACUUCUUUUGUAAGAGAGUAAAGUGCACUACGUGUAGUGUAUUGCAAGUACCUUACGAAUAAGCAUCGGCUAAUUCCGUGCCAGCAGCCGCGGUAAUACGGAAGAUGCAAGUGUUAUCCGGAUUUAUUGGGUUUAAAGGGUGCGUAGGUGGUCUAAUAAGUCAGUGGUGAAAUCUCUUUGCUUAACAAGGAAAUUGCCAUUGAAACUGUUAGACUUGAGAAUGGACGAGGUAGGCGGAAUUCGUAGUGUAGCGGUGAAAUGCAUAGAUAUUACGAAGAACUCCAAUAGUGUAGACUGCUUACCAGACCAUAUCUGACACUAAGGCACGAAAGUGUGGGUAUCAAACAGGAUUAGAUACCCUGGUAGUCCACACAGUAAACGAUGAAUACUAACUGUUUGCGAUAUACAGCAAGUGGUCGAGCGAAAGCGUUAAGUAUUCCACCUGGGAAGUAUGCCGGCAACGGUGAAACUCAAAGGAAUUGACGGGGGCCCGCACAAGCGGAGGAACAUGUGGUUUAAUUCGAUAAUACGCGAGGAACCUUACCCGGGCUCGAACGAUAUUUGAAUACAUCCGAAAAGAUGUAGCUAGCAGUAGCAAAUACCGAGGUGCUGCAUGGUGUCGUCAGCUCGUGCCGUGAGUGUC